rnacentral:rRNA from 1 species
AGAGGGGGGGCAAGCGUUGUUCGGAUUGACUGGGCGUAAAGGGCGCGUAGGCGGGAUGUGUAAGUUGGGGGGGGGUGAAAGGGCCUGGGGCUCAACCUGGGAAUUGCCUCCAAAACUACACGUCUUGAGUUCGGAAGAGGAUGGCGGAAUUCCCAGUGUAGAGGUGAAAUUCGUAGAUAUUGGGAAGAACACCAGUGGCGAAGGCGGCCAUCUGGUCCGACACUGACGCUGAGGCGCGAAAGCGUGGGGAGCAAACAGGAUUAGAUACCCUGGUAGUCCACGCCGUAAACGAUGUGUGCUAGCCGUUGGGGCUUUUGAGCUUCAGUGGCGCAGCUAACGCGAUAAGCACACCGCCUGGGGAGUACGGUCGCAAGAUUA